GACGAAGGGGGCUAGCGUUGUUCGGAAUUACUGGGCGUAAAGCGCGUGUAGGCGGUUGUCCAAGUUGGAUGUGAAAGCCUUGAGCUUAACUCAAGAAAUGCAUUCAGGACUGGGCGACUAGAGGACCGGAGAGGAUAGUGGAAUUCCCAGUGUAGUGGUGAAAUACGUAGAGAUUGGGAAGAACACCAGUGGCGAAGGCGGCUAUCUGGACGGUUUCUGACGCUAAGACACGAAAGCGUGGGGAGCAAACAGG
rnacentral:rRNA from 1 species